GAUCCUGGCUCAGAUUGAACGCUGGCGGCAGGCCUAACACAUGCAAGUCGAGCGGUAACAGAUCCAGCUUGCUGGAUGCUGACGAGCGGCGGACGGGUGAGUAAUGCAUAGGAAUCUACCCGAUAGUGGGGGAUAACCUGGGGAAACCCAGGCUAAUACCGCAUACGUCCUACGGGAGAAAGGGGGACGUCCGGCUCCCGCCUAUGGGAUGAGCCUAUGUCGGAUUAGCUAGUUGGUGAGG
rnacentral:rRNA from 1 species